GGCGGCGGCGGCAACGGCGCUCAAGCCCCUUCCUUACCUGGGAAGGGAGACUUCCAGAGGUGGGCGGACUGCGACUGCUCCUUGGAGCAGUACACCUGACUGUCCCAGCCGUUGGAGAGAGCCCAGUGCUGAUACCCUUCGACGGGGAUGAGCGCGUCGUGACGCGGCUCCGGGUGCCCGCUGAUCCCAGGCACCACCGACACGUCCAGCAUUCGACUUCACUAACUCCGACCAAGCUUAAGCUUGGCGAAAAGCCGCAUCCACACAGGACACUACAUGGCCGACCCGGGAGGACAGCAGGAUGUGUGUCUGCUUCGGGAAGCUCCCCUCCCGGGCAACAGAGUCAAACCGGCGAGCCAGGCACGAUCCCUCCCAUAAUCCUGACUGAUGCACUUACCCGCACUCUAUGGGCACUGAGAGCUGAGCACACAGAAUUGCGGCCCCCUGUCCAGGCAGCCUCAGAGCUUCGGCCGCUGCGGGCAGGCACUCAUCUCCCGCCCGCGCGGGGCGCAGCACCGGGGCCCCCCAGAUCUUUGAAGCCUUCGCACCCGGCUUUCGCGUGGACGGGCAAAAGGGAACGGCGGGGAGUGAACAGAGGGUUUACUGACUCCGGAAGCCUCCAAAGGUCGCCCUUUGCAACCUCGAACCCUCCAGAGCUUCACCCACAGAGGUUCUGCUCCAUUGUGGCAUUGGAAGAAGCGCGAAGUGAUUUCAACCCCUAAGUGUCUAUACCAAAGGACGGAUUCUUUCUUCCCCAAGUCCCUUUCCCUUUACUUAGGAAGCCUUGGCUGAUCUUUGCUUUGAGAUUUGACAGACCUCCUCCCUUCCCCAGUGUGUUUUUCCAACCUUCGUUCCAGCUCAUCUCAAGAAAUCCGGCAGGGAAAGUGCUUAAUGUAAAAAUAAAACUCCAGUGAAACUAGGGGAACAGGGGAAAAACAAAAACAAAAACGCUCUUUGCACAUACAUAAAUAAGGUAGGGGGUGUCGCUGCAGAAUAACACAUCUGGGGAAGAAUGAAUUUGCCCUUUUAUUUUUAAUAGCGAGCCGGAGGCCUGAAAUAUAGGUAACAGACGGGAUCAAGUUGCUGGAAACUUUGCCUUCAGUGAACCAUCCUGCGAUGCUCUUUGCUUUCACCACGAGUGAGACACUGAGAGAGGCGGGUGUUGCUUGUUUAUUAAUUGUAACUAUUCAAACUCUUUUUGUGAUGCCAGAUGUGCCUUCUGAUUCUACCAGAAUGAAGGAUUUUUAAAAAAUUAAUUUCAUUAAAAUGAACGAAA